GACGAACGCUGGCGGCGUGCUUAACACAUGCAAGUCGAACGGAAAGGCCCAGCUUUUGUGGGGUGCUCGAGUGGCGAACGGGUGAGUAACACGUGAGUAACCUGCCCUGGACUUUGGGAUAACUUCAGGAAACUGGGGCUAAUACCGGAUAGGAGCUCCUGCUGCAUGGUGGGGGUUGGAAAGUUUCGGCGGUUGGGGAUGGACUCGCGGGUUAUCAGCUUGUUGGUGGGGUAGUGGCUUACCAAGGCUUUGACGGGUAGCCGGCCUGCGAGGGUGACCGGCCACAUUGGGACUGAGAUACGGCCCAGAGCCCUACGGUGGGCAGCAGUGGGAAAUAUUGCACAAGGGGGGGACGCCUGAUGCAGCAACGCCGCGUGCGGAAUACCGGCCUUCGGGUUGUAAACGCCUUUCCCCUUUGCCGAAGUGUGUGUGACGGUAAUGGGUAAAGAAGCACCGGCUAACUACGUG
rnacentral:rRNA from 1 species